rnacentral:rRNA from 1 species
UACGAAGGGGGCUAGCGUUACUCGGAUUGACUGGGCGUAAAGGGCGCGUAGGCGGAUGGUACAGUCAGACGUGAAAUUCCUGGGCUCAACCUGGGGGCUGCGUUUGAUACGUGCUGUCUGGAGUUCGGAAGAGGGUCGUGGAAUUCCCAGUGUAGAGGUGAAAUUCGUAGAUAUUAGGAAGAACACCAGUGGCGAAGGCGGCUCACUGGCCCGGUACUGACGCUGAGGCGCGAAAGCGUGGGGAGCGAACAGG